rnacentral:rRNA from 1 species
AUGUCGUCUUCGGAGCUGCGCCCGCUUCCUGCCGCCUUCUUCUCCGGCGACCUGCCCGCGGACGCGCUGUACGAGGUCCUCCUCCGCAUCCCGGCCAAGGAGCUCUGCCGCCUCCGCGCCGUCUGCCCGGCCUGGCGCGCCCUCACCUCCAACCCGCUCUUCGUCGCGGCGCACAAGUCCCGCCACCGCAAGGCGCCUCCGCUCCUCGCCGUGGCCUACGGCGACGACGGUAAUCACAACGGUGUUGAGAUUUUGGAUCUGUGGGGCAACGUGGUGAAGCGGAUUCCGAACACCAAGUACAAAUCUGAUCUGAUGUUCGAUCGCAUCCGUGUUGUGCGCACGCGGCUAGACCUCAUCUGUUUGAGCUGGGUCGUCUGCUCUCGGGCCUUCUGGGUGCUGAACCCCGCCACUGGAGCUACUACCGCCUUGCCGUUGGGCUUCUCAGAGGAAUUGGAGCAUGAGCUAGAAGGGAAAAGGUUCUGCCAUUUUGAGUCCUGUGCUUUUGGGCAUGUCUCCUCUACCAGAGAGUACAAGGCGCUCCGUGUCUCUAGAGUUGAUGACCGGCAGGUAAGUGAGGUUAUCACCUUUGAUGACACCAACCAUGGAUGCUGGAGGAGAAAGCAGGACCCUCCACCCCAUAUCUGUGCCCGUCGCCAGAUGAGACUUGAUGGGGUGAUCUACUUCUUGAUGGAUUUUUACCCCACAUACUGUAAUACUGGGGUUUUAAUCACUGAGCCUGGUAGCAUAGCUUCCUUCAACCUUGAGACAGAGGAGUGGGGUGUUCUACCUGGUCCAGAACAGGUACAGAGGUUUGUGCAAGAGAACGAUGAUUACGGUUACGCAGAACUUGACCUCCAGUUAUCAUUGGCUGAGUUGGACGGCUGCUUAGUUAUGGUUCAGAAUAUUCAUUACGAAUCUAUGGACUUGUGGUUUUUGACAGAUUCUGAGAAAGGUAUCUGGGUUAAGAAAUACAGCUUGCCUUCACAUGUUGCUGAGCUUAAUAGGUAUCCUUUUCUGAUGUUAGAUGAUGGGACAAUUUUCUUCAGUGGGUCGAAUGGUUUACAAGGUUUAUUCAGUGCUGGAGAGCAAGGAGACGGAUUUCUGCUAAGUUAUGAUCUAAGAAACGACACUUAUGGUUAUGCACUAAAACUGAGAGGUUCCCAAUCCAUUGGCAUUUACACAGGAAGCCUGCUGAGUUUAUAG